rnacentral:rRNA from 1 species
UACGUAGGGGGCGAGCGUUGUCCGGAGUACUGGGCGUAAAGCGCACGCAGGCGGUCUGCUAAGUUUGGAGUGACAGUUGGUGGCUUAACUGCCAAAGUGCUUCGAAAACUGACAGACUUGAGGGCUUCAGAGGGACACGGAAUUCCGAGUGUAGAGGUGAAAUUCGUAGAUAUUCGGAAGAACACCAGUGGCGAAGGCGGCUCACUGGACUGGUAUUGACGCUGAGGUGCGAAAGCGUGGGGAGCAAACAGG